rnacentral:rRNA from 1 species
AUUGAACGCUGGCGGCAUGCCUUACACAUGCAAGUCGAACAGAAAGGCCCUUGCUUGCAGGGGUACUCGAGUGGCGAACGGGUGAGUAACACGUGGGUAAUCUGCCUUGUACUUCGGGAUAAGCCUGGGAAACUGGGUCUAAUACCGGAUAGGACCAUGCUUUAGUGUGUGUGGUGGAAAGUUUUUUCGGUACAGGAUGAGCCCGCGGCCUAUCAGCUUGUUGGUGGGGUAAUGGCCUACCAAGGCGACGACGGGUAGCCGGCCUGAGAGGGUGUACGGCCACAUUGGGACUGAGACACGGCCCAG